GUGCUCACUUCAGCAGCGCAUAUACUAAAAUCGGAAUACAGAGAUUAGCACGGCCCCUGCACAAGGACAACACGCAAAUUUGUGAAGUGUUCCAUAUUUUU
rnacentral:snRNA from 1 species